CGGGAGUUGGCGUAACUGGAUAACGUACAAGACUUCGGAUCUUGGGUUAGGGGUUCGAGUCCUCUACUCCCGGCCA
rnacentral:tRNA from 1 species